AGAAUGUCAGUGUGUACAGGGCUUCACUUACCAUUUUGCUCUUUUUCCUAUUAGAGCAUCCUAUCUUUCCCUCUAAUUCCCCAAUAGCACCAGUAUCUCUGCGUCAGUGGCCACUUGGAGUUCAUCCAGCCCUUCUCCUCCUCUCUUCCCUACAUCUCUUGCUGCUGUCCUCCCUUUGAUCUGUGUUUCACAAAGGCACCUGGAAUGGCUUGUGGUGGCCUGGCAUCGCUAAAGAGGCCCUCAGCUACACCACCAAACACUGCUGAGGGUGCAGGGAAUGGAGACAAACCUGGAAACCUCUCAUCCAACAGGGCAGAGAAGCAUCUUGAGGACCUCUGGUCUGGUUGCCAGUUCCUCUACCAUUUAUCGUGCAGUAUAUAUUUUUACUUGGAAGGGGGGCCCUGUUGGUGAAUGAUGAUGGGAAGAUGAUGGAUGAUUUGAGAGUGAGGGUGUGCGGAAUUCAAGGUCAGAUGAUACUGACUGGAGUGCUAAAGCUGAGCUCCAUGCCAGUGACGUGCUCGCCACUCUCCACCUGGGCCAGCUUCUGGAUGUAGGAAUAUAGGCUCCGUGCAGCCACUUCAGUGUUGCCGCAGGCCACAGCCUCCAGCAGUGCAUCGUGAAUAAAGCUGUACUGGUCCUCCGUCUGCACCAUGUAAUUCCGCUGUGAACGCAUCAGCGUCACAUGGCCGUAAAUGUCGACAGUCUUCUCGUGCUUGAUACGCUCAAGCAUGGCGUCGAUGACAAUGAAGCAACCUGUCCGACCGACACCCGCACUAAAGGACGAGGGAAAGGAAUGAGA